rfam:Sinomicrobium oceani strain CGMCC 1.12145 genome assembly, contig: IQ32DRAFT_scaffold00022.22
CAACCUCUGGCGAGAGACGUGAAUGUUG